rnacentral:lncRNA from 1 species
GCUCUCUAGCCAGGACAGCCCAUCCUCAGGCCACCCAGCUCCGUGAGUGAGUUCCCUGCACAGCCUGUGACUGACUCACCGAUGCAGUGGGGCUGAUCUUCACAUGGCACCCCAAGCAGGCUUUUCCAGUUCACAUCUGCCAACAAGGCAGCCAAGGGGGUGGUUUAGGAAGUAGAGAAAAGGUGAAAAGGCAGCGGAGGGAGCCGGCUGUCCUGUGUCUCCUCUUUUUCCUGCCCCCAGUGACUUGCAUUUUCUCUGAGACAGCUGCCAUUCUAGUCUCCCAGCCAUUCUUAGGAAGAGACGUGCCUGUCUCUGGGAAGAGGCAACUUCUCUGCAUGUCAGAGGUCUGUUACAUUUCCCAGAAUGGUUCCCAGUGCUGGAGAUAAUUCCUUUUCGGAGAACCUACAUUUCUCACCUGCUGAUUGCAAUUAGCCACUACCAGCUGGGGCCUGGUGUGCAGCUGAAAAGCUAACAAGAAGUGGAGACCACGCGGAACUCAGACAGGGCAUAGGAUGUGCAUAAAUAAGCAACGGUGCCUGUGUUUAUGAGAUGCUCCUGUGAAUUCGAGGCUUCCCCACCCUCUGCAUAACUCUCCCUCUUCUGGCUUUGUGCUGCACACCCCUCCCCUAACUAUAUUUUUUGUCUCUGGUUUUGUAGCCUACGUUUAAC